GAUCAUUACUGAGUGGCUGUAUUCGUGCUUCUCUUCGGAGACGCGAAGCUACCCGACCUGAUGUCAUUUUAUCCGAGGGCGCGCCCGCUUGAGAAGACAGCGGUUUGACGUUGUGGUGUUACCCGGACGAGGCGCUUGUCUCGUAAGGGGAAGCUUCCGGGUCGGGCCGUGGCGCGUUCCUUGGCACAACUUUCCGCGGAAGUGGUAGGCGUUGACUUGCCCGCCGCGGGCCAUACUUUUCACAACUCUCGAAGAAAACCUGAAGUCUGAAUACCAAAACAAAAACGAAAAGCAAAACUUUCAACAACGGAUCUCUUGGCUCUGGCAACGAUGAAGAACGCAGCGAAACGCGAAAGGUAAUGCGAAUUGCAGAAUCAGUGAGUCAUCGAAUCUUUGAACGCACAUUGCGCCUCUCGGUAUUCCGGGAGGCACGCCUGUUCGAGCGCCAUUACAAACUCCAAGCGUGGCUUGAUGUUGGGCGAUGUCUUUUUGCGAGAGCGGGAGACACGCCUGGAACGCGUUGGCGCCGCCGCCGGACCACGAGCGUAGCAAGACGAGAGUCAAUCGCAUCGAUUUGGUUUCCGACGGAGGUCCGCCUUGUGACUGCACUUUCGAGUGUAGUUGAAAAACUUCUCAAGUUUGGCCUCGGAUCAGGCGGGGAUACCCGCUGAACUUAAGCAUAUC
rnacentral:misc_RNA from 1 species